AAAGUUGAGAGAUAAAAAUAAAUCUCUUAAUACAAUAUUUUAUAAUAAAAAUGUUAAAAAAAUUUAAUGUAGGACCCACUAACAAUGAAGACAUGACCUGUUAAUAUUAAGAGUAUUGAGGGAGAGAAUUGCUAACGGUGAGAGAUAUAAUAAACUCUUAUUUGUAUUCAUGGGUGUGUCUAUUGACCCUUUAGAUAAAGUUGAUUGUAAAAAUAAUCUUUAACCCUUCAAUAAGCUACGGAUUUAGGAGAAAAGUUUUUCAUAUGAUAUAUUCACUUCGCUUUUGACAACCUGAUUAUGUAUGCUUAAGACUUUUCGAAUUAUAAUCGUACACGUGCUCUUACACAUUUGAAGGCAAUUCAUUGAUUAAUUUAGCUUCUACCUAUCUGUUUAUCUGUAUGCGGUGUGUGUGCUAAAUUACUUAAUUUAAAGAUGAGAAUGAUGAGAUAAUUAAAUAUAUAAGUGUACAAGGAAAGACAAGCUUCAUAAUGAUCAUAUGCCCAAAAAAAAAAGUUAGUGUGAUGUAUAUUAAAAAAAUGAUACAAAAUUCUCUAAGGUAGUUCAAAAAUUUACAAUAAAGGUCAUUAGAGGUGGAACAAACAAUUGAGUUCAGUGAAGAGAAUAGAGAAUAUUGAAAGAGAUAUUUUGAUUAACAAUUUGUCCAAAAUUUGGUUAUUGAUUGAAUACAAUGGUUCUGAAAUAAGGCUGGUUAUUAUUAUUGGGUGUGUGUUAGAAGUAGAAAUUAAGUAUUUAUAUAUAUAUAUAUAUAUAUUAGAAUUAUUUGAGAGUCUUCUAGUCUAUUAUCAGCGAUGUGUGAUAUGUGUGCUUGAUUCAUGUACCUAAAAUUAUGAGGUUCAUAUAUUAGUGUGAGAUUCAUGCAUGUAUGGUUUUGGGGAACCCAAUGCCCCACCCCUUAAAUACAGCUCAGCCUCCCACCUUUUUUUCCCCCUUUUAAUCAUUAGAUAUUCUACCGCAAGUGAAAAAUAUUUUGAUAUUUUAUGGUCAUGAAAAACGGUGUAGUUUUACUUCUUUUUUUUUUAACAAUUUUCCUAAGUAAAUAAAUCAAAACUUCACAAUUUUCAUUGCGAUGAGAUAUCAAAAUGAUUCUCAUUUCAUAUAGAAUGUGAUGGUCAAAAGAAAAAAAUAAAUGAAAGGUUGGUAUAUUAUAAAGAACAUUAAAGAGUGCGACAUGAAAGACCCGAGCCCUUGUUUUUUAUCCAAAAAUUUUCCAAAAGCUUCACGAUAUGAUUCUUCUUCAAGAUAUUUUUUUUCCCAAAAUUUGAGUUCUCUCCUCUCUUUUUUGCCCCUUGCAAUGGGGCUGAUUUUGGGAAAAAUUUCAAUGAGGGACCAUUGACCAAACAUAAUGAAAAAGGGGACCCUUAAAUUUUUGAAAUUUCAUUGAAGGACCCUUAAGUAUUUUCGUUUGAAUUUGUGAUAGAAAUGAUAAAAUUUUCCUCAUUUAAAUGAAUAACAUAAAUGAUUUAUUUGUUUUUCAUACUAUAUAUUUUUCAUUUACUUAUAAAAUAUUGUUCAUUUUCUUACUUUAUUUGUUUAUAGUUAUACUUUCACUUGAUUUCAAUCUAAGGCCGUAAACAAGUGAAGUAAGUAAACAAACUAACAUCCAUAAGUAAAUAAACAACAAAAAGUAUGAAAAUAAAUAAGUCGUUUUAUUAUAAACCAACACUUAAAAUGAAAUAAAGUAAAUUUAAGGCUAUAAAUAAGUAAAGUAAGGAAAUAAAUAACAUUCCCUAAGUAAAUGAAUAACAUACAAUAUGAGAACGAACAAGUCAUUUAUGUUAUUCAUUUAAAUAAGGGUAAUUUUAUCAUUUCUAUCACAAAUUCAAAUAAAAAUCCGCACGGAUCUUUCAGUGGAAUUUUACAAAUUUAGAGGUCCUCUUUUUCAUUAUGUUUGGUCAAGGGUCCCUCACUAAAAAUUUUCCUUAAUUUUAUGCAUGUUCUUGCUUGUGGGGAGUUCCGGAGAGGAUUAGAGAAUGUCAUUGCUGAUAGGAAAUUUCUCAGUUCUCACUAACCUUGCUUGGAUUUUCAAAGUGCAAUAUCAACCUUUUGGAAGUUGGCAAGCAAAGGAGAAGUAUCCAUGAAUACUAUAUGUCUGCAUAUUAGGACCUGAGGAAAUCAGCGUUAAUAAGUUUCUUUUUGAGACACAAUCAUCAAAGUUUGCCGAAGGAACACCAUAAUCCCCGCAGAAAGAUUGAACUCACCAAGGUGAGCUAAACGAAGACAUAGCAGAGAGAAGAGAGAUGAGUUAGCUAUGACUUUCCGAAAGACCAGCCUUUGCAAGGCUGAUGAUUAAACCAAAUAUCCAAUUUGUCAGCCAUGUGUCAGAAAGAAUAUGCGGUUUUGAGGAUGUCAUUGGUCACUUCAGGAGUAUAUAAUUUUUGAACAAGUAGCUUAUUCUAGCUGUAUGGAUUCGAGGAAGAAGUAUUUUUAAUUAUUAAAUCAAAAUCUGUAGUGAUAUGCAAUCAAUGUACUUUUGUGUUGCCGAGUGAAGGCCACCGUUGCUCAUGAUCAAUUGGAAUAUCACAAGAGUCGUAGGUUUUCCUUGUUA